GCCUGCAUGGCUUAGUGGUUGAGUGUUAGCCUAUGAACCUGGAGGUCAUGGUUCAAUUCCCUGUCAGGGCA
rfam:Myotis lucifugus cont2.28591, whole genome shotgun sequence.